AUUUUUAAAUUAACUGAUAGCUCAUUUAUUGCUAUCGCGUAAAAAUUGUCGAAGUUAGGCGACUUUUUUUAAAUACGGUCUUGAAUUUAUAU